ACAGACGGAACUCCCUCUGCCCCCGACGCCCCCGACCCCGAGCCCUCGACCCCCAUCACCCGAUCCUUUCCGUUUCUCUCCUUCUCCUCUGUCUCCGCGGGAGGGCGACUGCAGAACAUAGUCUUCUUGCAGCAGGGCGUCUUCCAGCGGCUCCUCAGCAGCAUCGCAUUGGUUGCAGCUCCUCAAUGGGCAUCCUCGAGCAGCUGAGGAAGCUCCUCAGCAGGGCGUGUGUCUUCCAGCGGCUCUUGGGCGGCGGCUUAUAGAUAUGCUUCGAGCUGAACUCACUAUGUACCUCAGAGCUCCAAACCAGGACAUCAUGAUUGGUUGAUAUCUUGAAUGGAUGGAACGAUGUAGCUUUUUCUUUUAAUCGUUAGUCUUAAGGAACCAGACGGUGAUGCCUCUUCUAAAGUAUUACAUGGUUUUGAUGAGAAGAGUAGCAUGCACGACAAAAGACUACUUAUCUAGCGAGUUGUUAUAGUUGUUUUUGUUUUAUGACUUGCAACAGUUGAAUAUUUUAGACAAUUUGUAUUUUGUAGUUUUACUUGAUACCGGUGGCUUAUAGAUGUUUAAACAUUCUACAGUACUGAUGUUUUUGUUAUAUAUAUGAAUGUAUUGAAAGAGUUGAUUUUGUUAUAAUAUUAUGGAGCGUGUUAUCAAA